AUGAGGCUCCCGUACACGAUGCCAUCGAGGACCGGCUCGCCGCCAAGCUUGUCCUGCAAGUUCUUGGUGCAGCUCCACUGCUUUGGCCCCAUCCCCGGCCUCCACAAACCCAGCCAUGAGGAGGCUGUAGACAUGGGGAUCGGGCCCGACGAACCCGGAGGCGAGCAUCUCGUCCUUGAGCGCGACGGCGUCCGCGAGGCGGCCGUGGUCCGCCACGAGGCACCUGACGACGACCCGGUAGGCGGUCGGGGAGGGUGGCACGGGGGAUCCGGGGCGGGCGAUGAGGCGGAGGUGGAGGAGCGCGGCGUCGGGGAGGCGGCGCGCGGCGAGGGCGGAGAGGUAGAGCGCGUGGGUGGCGGCGGUGGGCGGGACGGCGGCCUGGAGGGCGAAGCGGUGGAGCGCGAAGAAGUCGUCGAGGCGGCGCGCGCGGAGGAGCGCGGCGAGGACGGCGACGCAGGUGAAGGAGGAGGGGCGGCAGUUGGAGUGGAGCGCGUGGCGGGUGAGCAGCGCGGCCUCGUCGAGGUCGGCGGCGGUGGGGGAGAGGAGGGCGAGGACGCGGUUGUGGAGCGCGAGGCGGGAGGGGGCGAGCGAGGGGAGCGGCUCCGCGAGGCGCACGGAGCUCGGGGAGGACGGCGGGGCCGGGGGCGUCGCGGCGAAGGCGCCCCGGCGGCGGGCGCGGCGGGAGGCCGCGGCCGAGGCGGCGUCGGCGUGGGCGAGCGGGAAGAGCGCCGGCACGAGGCGGCGCGCGGCGAGCGGCUUGGAGAGCGACAUCUCCCGCGGGGAAGGGGCUCCGGUGCGGCGGCCGCGCGCGGAAGGAGGCGAGGGUUUAGUUUAGGGCCUGUUGGGCCUGGGAGGGCCGGAAGGAACAGAGUUGGCACUUUGCAGCGGGUGUCUACCUGA
rnacentral:rRNA from 1 species